GACGAACGCUGGCGGCAUGCCUAACACAUGCAAGUCGAACGGAACUUGUUGAAUGAAGUUUUCGGAUGGAUUUUAGCAAGUUUAGUGGCGGACGGGUGAGUAACGCGUGAGCAACCUGCCUUUCAGAGGGGGACAACAGUUGGAAACGACUGCUAAUACCGCAUAACGUAUCGGAACCGCAUGGCUCUGAUACCAAAGAUUUUUAUCGCUGAAAGAUGGGCUCGCGUACGAUUAGAUAGUUGGUGAGGUAACGGCUCACCAAGUCGACGAUCAGUAGCCGGACUGAGAGGUUGAACGGCCACAUUGGGACUGAGACACGGCCCAGACUCCUACGGGAGGCAGCAGUGGGGGAUAUUGGACAAUGGGGGCAACCCUGAUCCAGCGACGCCGCGUGAGGGAAGAAGGUUUUCGGAUUGUAAACCUCGUGUUGACGGAGAAAAAAAUGAUGGUAUCCGUUUAGAAAGCCACGGCUAACUACGUG
rnacentral:rRNA from 1 species